UCCACACACAGCCGCAUACCGAACAGACACACAAAGCAUAGCUAAUCAGAAAUAAUUAAUUACACGAAACGAAAAAACUAUGGGUAAAUCAUAUAACCCCCAAAAAACCAAAGUAAUUCAUAUUAAAUCAUACCCGCAACGCUCUGGCCAACAAUAUAAAUAUCGCAUUGGCCAGAGGAUAGAGAAACAACCGAAUUUCUCCAAACAAAAAAAAAUUAUCUUCAGCGGGCAUACCCACACACCCGGCCAAUCGCCUGGCAAAAAAAAAUUAGUAUUGCGCAAACAAUAAUUUGGGCAAGUCAUGGGCAAUCAUCCAGUCAUUGUAUUAUGACCAAAGAGGCGGUCAGAGCUUACCCAAGCAGUGACAUGUGCUUCAUUUCUUACUCCAUCCGGCCGAAUACAUAAUAUUCGGGGUGACACCCUUUGCCACAGCAGGCCAAUAAAUGCAAAGCAGACAACUAGGGAAAAACAAACAUACGUGUCAUGCCCGAUGGGCAGACGUCCAUCCUAUAUAAGCCCUCAGGCAUCAAUUGUAUAAAUCGUACAUUCUGUGACCUCGUAUAUAAACAGAGGCAGGACAGGCAACUAUGACCAGUAUGCGUUAUGGAAAAAACCUGGGGCAAUGAAUACAUGUCCAUUACCUGGACCUUUCUUUUCCCAAAAUAAUGCAUUAUCUUUGUCGUUAUCUUAUUCAUGAUGUAUUUCCUCUACCUUUACGUGCCAUCAAUAAAAUAACAUAUCGAUUCGCA